rnacentral:rRNA from 1 species
CGGAUUCUGGCUCAGGAUGAACGCUGGCGGCGUGCUUAAUACAUGCAAGUCGAACGAAGCGCUUACAGCCGAUCCCUUCGGGGUGAAGCAGUUUGUGACUUAGUGGCGGACGGGUGAGUAACGCGUGGGUAACCUGCCUCAUGCAGGGGGAUAACAGUUAGAAAUGACUGCUAAUACCGCAUAAGCGCACGGCACCGCAUGGUGGAGUGUGAAAAGAUUUAUCGGCAUGAGAUGGACCCGCGUCUGAUUAGGUAGUUGGUGGGGUAACGGCCUACCAAGCCGACGAUCAGUAGCCGACUUGAGAGAGUGAUCGGCCACAUUGGGACUGAGACACGGCCCAGACUCCUACGGGAGGCAGCAGUAGGGAAUAUUGCACAAUGGGGGAAACCCUGAUGCAAGCGACGCCGCGUGAGUGAAGAAGUAUUUCGGUACGUAAAGCUCUAUCAGCAGGGAAGAUAAUGACGGUACCUGACUAAGAAGCCCCGGCUAACUACGUGCCAGCAGCCGC